GACGAACGCUGGCGGCGUGCUUAACACAUGCAAGUCGAACGGAAAGGCCCUGCUUUUGUGGGGUGCUCGAGUGGCGAACGGGUGAGUAACACGUGAGUAACCUGCCCUUGACUUUGGGAUAACUUCAGGAAACUGGGGCUAAUACCGGAUAGGAGCUCCUGCUGCAUGGUGGGGGUUGGAAAGUUUCGGCGGUUGGGGAUGGACUCGCGGCUUAUCAGCUUGUUGGUGGGGUAGUGGCUUACCAAGGCGUUGACGGGUAGCCGGCCUGAGAGGGUGACCGGCCACAUUGGGACUGAGAUACGGCCCAGACUCCUACGGGAGGCAGCAGUGGGGAAUAUUGCACAAUGGGCGGAAGCCUGAUGCAGCAACGCCGCGUGCGGGAUGACGGCCUUCGGGGUGUAAAACGCUUUCGCCUGUGACGAAGCGUGAGUGACGGUAAUGGGUAAAGAAGCACCGGCUAACUACGUG
rnacentral:rRNA from 1 species